rnacentral:rRNA from 1 species
AUUGAACGCUGGCGGCAGGCCUAACACAUGCAAGUCGAACGAGUGGCGGACGGGUGAGUAAUGUCUGGGAAACUGCCUGAUGGAGGGGGAUAACUACUGGAAACGGUAGCUAAUACCGCAUACCCUCGGAUGUGCCCAGAUGGGAUUAGUUAGUAGGUGGGGUAACGGCUCACUGAGGAGACGAUCCCUCGCUGGUCUGAGAGGAUGUCCAGCCACACUGGAACUGAGACACGGUCCAGACUCCUCCGGGAGGCAGCAGUGGGGAAUAUUGCACAAUGGGCGCAAGCCUGAUGCAGCCAUGCCGCGUGUGUGAAGAAGGCCUUCGGGUUGUAAAGCACUUUCAGCGGGGAGGCGGUACCCGCAGAAGAAGCACCGGCUAACUCCGUGCCAGCCGCCGCGGUAAUUC